GACGAACGCUGGCGGCGUGCUUAACACAUGCAAGUCGAACGGAAAGGCCCUGCUUUUGUGGGGUGCUCGAGUGGCGAACGGGUGAGUAACACGUGAGUAACCUGCCCUUGACUUUGGGGUAACUUCAGGAAACUGGGGCUAAUACCGGAUAGGAGCUCCUGCUGCAUGGUGGGGGUUGGAAAGUUUCGGCGGUUGGGGAUGGACUCGCGGCUUAUCAGCUUGUUGGUGGGGUAGUGGCUUACCAAGGCUUUGACGGGUAGCCGGCCUGAGAGGGUGACCGGCCACAUUGGGACUGAGAUACGGCCCAGACUCCUACGGGAGGCAGCAGUGGGGAAUAUUGCACAAUGGGCGGGAGCCUGAUGCAGCAACGCCGCGUGCGGGAUGACGGCCUUCGGGUUGUAAACCGCUUUCGCCUGUGACGAAGCGUGAGUGACGGUAAUGGGUAAAGAAGCACCGGCUAACUACGUG
rnacentral:rRNA from 1 species